rnacentral:rRNA from 1 species
UACGUAGGGUGCAAGCGUUGUCCGGAAUUAUUGAGCGUAAAGAGCUUGUAGGCGGUUUGUCGCGUCUGCUGUGAAAUUUCGGGGCUCAACCCCGAACUUGCAGUGGGUACGGGCAGACUAGAGUGUGGUAGGGGAGACUGGAAUUCCUGGUGUAGCGGUGAAAAUGCGCAGAUAUCAGGAGGAACACCGAUGGCGAAGGCAGGUCUCUGGGCCAUAACUGACGCUGAGAAGCGAAAGCAUGGGGAGCGAACAGG